UACGGGGGAGCAAGCGUUGUUCGGAUUUACUGGGCGUAAAGGGCGCGUAGGCGGCGUGACAAGUCACUUGUGAAAUCUCCGGGCUUAACUCGGAACGGUCAAGUGAUACUGUCGUGCUAGAGUACAGAAGGGGCAACUGGAAUUCUCGGUGUAGCGGUGAAAUGCGUAGAUAUCGAGAGGAACACCUGCGGCGAAGGCGGGUUGCUGGGCUGAUACUGACGCUGAGGCGCGAAAGCCAGGGGAGGCGAACGGG
rnacentral:rRNA from 1 species